rnacentral:rRNA from 1 species
UCACUUCUGGAUGGACCUGCGGUGCAUUAACUUGUUGGUGGGGUAAUGGCCUACCAAGGCGAUGAUGCAUAGCCGAGUUGAGAGACUGAUCGGCCACAAUGGGACUGAGACACGGCCCAUACUCCUACGGGAGGCAGCAGUAGGGAAUCUUCCACAAUGGGCGCAAGCCUGAUGGAGCAACACCGCGUGAGUGAAGAAGGGUUUCGGCUCGUAAAGCUCUGUUGUUAAAGAAGAACACGUAUGAGAGUAACUGUUCAUACGUUGACGGUAUUUAACCAGAAAGUCACGGCUAACUACGUGCCAGCAGCCGCGGUAAUACGUAGGUGGCAAGCGUUAUCCGGAUUUAUUGGGCGUAAAGAGAGUGCAGGCGGUUUUCUAAGUCUGAUGUGAAAGCCUUCGGCUUAACCGGAGAAGUGCAUCGGAAACUGGAUAACUUGAGUGCAGAAGAGGGUAGUGGAACUCCAUGUGUAGCGGUGGAAUGCGUAGAUAU